rnacentral:rRNA from 1 species
GACGUAGGGCGCAAGCGUUGUCCGGAUUUAUUGGGCGUAAAGAGCUCGUAGGCGGUUUGUUGCGUCGGCUGUGAAAUCCCGAGGCUCAACCUCGGGUCUGCAGUCGAUACGAGCAAACUAGAGUGUUGCAGGGGAGACUGGAAUUCCUGGUGUAGCGGUGAAAUGCGCAGAUAACAGGAGGAACACCGGUGGCGAAGGCGGGUCUCUGGGCAACAACUGACGCUGAGGAGCGAAAGCGUGGGGAGCGAACAGG